GACGAACGCUGGCGGCGUGCUUAACACAUGCAAGUCGAACGCUGAAGCUCAGCUUUUGUUGGGUGGAUGAGUGGCGAACGGGUGAGUAACACGUGAGUAACCUGCCUCCUUCUUUGGGAUAACGCCCGGAAACGGGUGCUAAUACUGGAUAUUCACUGGUCUUCGCAUGGGGGUUGGUGGAAAGGGUUUUUCUGGUGGGGGAUGGGCUCGCGGCCUAUCAGCUUGUUGGUGGGGUGAUGGCCUACCAAGGCUUUGACGGGUAGCCGGCCUGAGAGGGUGACCGGUCACAUUGGGAGUGAGAUACGGCCCAGACUCAUACGGGAGGCAGCAGUGGGGAAGAUUGCACAAUGGGCGCAAGCAUGAUGCAGCGACGCCGCGUGAGGGAUGGAGGCCUUCGGGUUGUGAACCUCUUUCGCUCAUGGUCAAGCCGCAACAAUGGUUGUGGUGAGGGUAGUGGGUAAAGAAGCGCCGGCUAACUACGUG
rnacentral:rRNA from 1 species